GAGACCUUGGACAUAACGGUCCAACUGGAGACUCUGGGAAGCCAGGUGAUCUAGGACCCCCUGGACUGCCUUUUCUCGGGGGUUGAACGGCAUGAGAGGAGUGCCUGGCAGGACGGGUAUUGAGGGUCCACCGGGACAAGAUACAUCUGACCAGCAUAUUAUUGAUGUGGUGCUAAGAAUGUUGCAAGAGAGGCUGGCAGCGGUAGCAGUGAGCGCUAAAAGGGCUGUGCUUGGUGGAGCUGGUGUCAUGGGAACCCCUCGGCCCUCCUGGACCUCUGUGAUCAACGGGUCCACAAGGACCACAUGAUUUGCAUGGUUCUCGAAGAAUUCCUGGGAUGAUAGGAGCUGAUGGACAGAUCGGAAACAAAGGUCUUAAAGGUAGUCGGACACAAUGGGCCUGCCCGGGAUAUCUCGUGGUGUCGGCUCCGCUUGUGUUGCCCUUUGUGGAUCUUGGGGAGCAUAUAGAUUCUGCGGGGGCCGGGGGCCGAUUCGCUCAAGAGAUAAGUCUUUUGUUUUGCAUUAAUGAAUCAUUUUUGUAAUACAUUCUUAAUUAUGUUUUCUAUCAUAGGAAUAGUUUCGGGGUAAAUGACUGCGGAGGGCCUCAGUUUUGUACCGCGUCAGGUUGGGCGAGACCGCGAGGGCGCAGCCCGACCGGAGCGAUGGGUGCUCAUCCGCCAGGACCAGCGUCUGGAACUCUGGAGGUAGCAGUCCUGGUCGUAUUUCACCUGAUGGUGCCACUCGGGACUGAGGCUGGUGGACGGGACGAAACUGAGGCCUUUGUCGAGGAGGGAGAGCUGCGAGGAGGACAAGAACUCCCAAGAUGAAGAUUGAAGAAAAAACACAUUUUAAUGGUAAUACUAGCAAUAAUAGUAGUAAUAAUAUGCUAAUGGGGAAAGUAAAAGCGUGGCUCGGGUGGUGGAGCAACUCGAGGGUUCCAGGUUCGAUCCCCGCUUCUGCCAUCUGAGUCACUGCCGAUGUGUCCUUGGGCAAGGCACCUGCUUUCCCUUCACUUAUUAACAGUAAUCAUAGUAAUAAGUACUUAAAGGUAGAAAAUGACUACUGUGUACAAUAAAAACAAUGUAAUACUUAUAUAUGCAUGUUGAGAAUACAUGAAUGAAUGCUUAAUUUCAAAGAAUAAAUAACAAUAAAUGUAAUAAAUAACAGAAUGUGUGAUCAUUAAAUAUCUGAAUGUAAAUAAAUGUUGAUAUUAUGUAAUAAAAAGAGAAUGUUAUAACUAAAUGUAUGUUUGAUUUACAUUUUGUACUUGAAUGUUACGUAACAAAUACGUGAAUAUACUGCAAUUUAAUAAAGAGUGUUAAUUUUAGCAAGGUACUUGUGUUGAUGUACUCCUACUUCCAAGCGACUUUGUCAAGUACUAGUAAAGGAAGAAAUGAUCAAGUACUUUUUGUGUGUUUUGGA